GAUCACUCUGGUGGCCUAGUGGUUUGAGUAUCCACCUCGGAUGUGGGAGGUCACGAGUUUGAUCCCUGGCCAAGUCA